CCUACGGGUGACUGCAGUGGGGGAUAUUGCACAAUGGGGGGAACCCUGAUGCAGCGACGCCGCGUGGGUGAAGAAGCGCCUCGGCGCGUAAAGCCCUGUCAGCAGGGAAGAAAAUGACGGUACCUGAAGAAGAAGCCCCGGCUAACUACGUGCCAGCAGCCGCGGGAAUACGUAGGGGGCAAGCGUUAUCCGGAUUUACUGGGUGUAAAGGGGGCGCAGACGGCGAUGCAAGCCAGGAGUGAAAGCCCGGGGCCCAACCCCGGGACUGCUCUUGGAACUGCGUGGCUGGAGUGCAGGAGGGGCAGGCGGAAUUCCUGGUGUAGCGGUGAAAUGCGUAGAUAUCAGGAGGAACACCGGUGGCGAAGGCGGCCUGCUGGACUGCAACUGACGUUGAGGCCCGAAAGCGUGGGGAGCAAACAGGAUUAGAUACCCCAGUAGUC
rnacentral:rRNA from 1 species